rnacentral:piRNA from 1 species
AAAUUCUCUCCACGGGACCUGGAUGAUG